UCAAACUUGGUCAUUUAGAGGAAGUAAAAGUCGUAACAAGGUUUCCGUAGGUGAACCUGCGGAAGGAUCAUUAUUGAAUAAACUUGGUUAGGUUGCUGCUGGCUCCUCGGAGCAUGUGCACGCCUAUUCCAUCUUUAACCCCCUGUGCACUUUGUGUAGAUCUGGAAAAGCAAUUCAAGGGGACAAUUCGGUUGUCCCCCUUGGUCAGGGAACUGCUGCGUCGCAAUGCCAGCUUUUCCUGUUAGUUCAGAUCUAUGUUUUCUACACACCCUAACAAAGAAUGUACUUGAAUGCUGUUCAUUAUAAUAAACACAUACAACUUUCAACAACGGAUCUCUUGGCUCUCGCAUCGAUGAAGAACGCAGC
rnacentral:misc_RNA from 1 species